CUCCUCAGCCGUUUUCGAUGAUGGAAUUUUUGAAUCAACAAUCGACUUCGUUAGAUCUGAUCUAGUGUAUUUAAAAUUUUUAUAAAAUAAUUUUUGCGAUUUUUCGAUACUAUUUAUCUAUUGAUCGAAAGGGUUCAAAAUCAAUAAUUUUUAAUAGGUGCAAUGUCUACCGUUUUCAAGUUUAACGGUGUAGAAUUAUUUAAAUCAGGUGAAAUUUUGAUACAAAAUUCUUUAUACUAUCUACAGCAGGAUCAAUAUCUCUGAUCGAAAAUUUUAGUUAUAUAUUACCAUUUUUUAUAGAAUUUUUUUUUC
rnacentral:lncRNA from 1 species